UUGUGGAGGAGGACGCCGAAGGUGGGGCUAAUGACUGGGGUGAAGUCGUAACAAGGUAGCCGUACCGGAAGGUGCGGCUGGAUCACCUCCUAACAGGGAGACAACAAAAUGUUUAAUAUUAUUAUUUUGUCACCUUAGGUCGAUCGGUAUCUUACAUCCUUAAUUUAUUAAGGAUUUCAUUUCCUAAGUUUUUCUAGGUCACACCCAUUACUUUUCCUGGGCCAUUAGCUCAGGUGGUUAGAGCGCACCCCUGAUAAGGGUGAGGUCCCUGGUUCAAGUCCAGGAUGGCCCAUAUCUCUAUGUUGGGGGUAUAGCUCAGUUGGUAGAGCGCCUGCUUUGCAAGCAGGAUGUCAGCGGUUCGAGUCCGCUUACCUCCACUGAUUACCACCUCUUGCAUAAUCUGUAUUAAGGAAAAUUUUUGAGUUGUGAUCAAAUUCUGAACGAAUCUAGCUUCCUAAUGAAAUCAUUAAGAUGCUGGACUCAUUGAAUUAAUUUCAUUGUUUUCAGAGAACCUUGACAACUGCAUAGAUUAUUUUUAAAGACAAUAAGCAUCUUUAAAGAUGCAGAUUUAUUAUUUGUGCAAAUGCAUUAAUAACAAUUCUAUUAAGCUGAUGCUUCAAUUUUUGAAGUUAUUGGUCAAGCUACAA
rnacentral:misc_RNA from 1 species